UCCUGGUUAACCCAGGCAGUCUCAUUAGAGUUCCCACCUUAACGUGUUGGCAACUAAUGAUAAGGGUUGCGCUCGUUGCGGGACUUAACCCAACACCUCACGGCACGAGCUGACGACAGCCAUGCAGCACCUGUGCAGAGGCCCCGAAGGGAAAUCACAUUUCUGCAAUCGUCCUCUGCAUGUCAAGCCUGGGUAAGGUUCUUCGCGUUGCAUCGAAUUAAACCACAUGCUCCACUGCUUGUGCGGGUCCCCGUCAAUUCUUUUGAGUCUCACCCUUGCGAGCGUACUCCCCAGGCGGUAUACUUAACGCGUUCGCUACGGCACAACUAGGGUUGAUUCCAGUUACACCAAGUAUACAUAGUUUACGGCAAGGACUAC
rnacentral:misc_RNA from 1 species